rnacentral:rRNA from 1 species
CAAUAGCGUAUAUUUAAGUUGUUGCAGUUAAAAAGCUCGUAGUUGGAUUUCGGAUGGGAUUUGCCGGUCCGUCGUUACGAUGUGCACUGGCCAGUCCUAUCUUGUUGUCGGGGACUAGCUCCUUGGAUUCACUUCCUGGGACUAGGAGCUGACGAGGUUACUUUGAGUAAAUUAGAGUGUUCAAAGCAAGCCUACGCUCUGAAUACAUUAGCAUGGAAUAACACGAUAGGACUCUGGCUUAUCUUGUUGGUCUGUGAGACCAGAGUAAUGAUUAAGAGGGACAGUCGGGGACAUUCGUAUUUCAUUGUCAGAGGUGAAAUUCUUGGAUUUAUGAAAGACGAACUUCUGCGAAAGCAUUUGCCAAGGAUGUUUNCAUUGA